rnacentral:rRNA from 1 species
GUGGGGAAUUUUGGACAAUGGGGGCAACCCUGAUCCAGCAAUGCCGCGUGCAGGAAGAAGGCCUUCGGGUUGUAAACUGCUUUUGUACGGAACGAAACGGUCCUGGUUAAUACCUGGGGCUAAUGACGGUACCGUAAGAAUAAGCACCGGCUAACUACGUGCCAGCAGCCGCGGUAAUACGUAGGGUGCAAGCGUUAAUCGGAAUUACUGGGCGUAAAGCGUGCGCAGGCGGUUUUGUAAGACAGGCGUGAAAUCCCCGGGCUCAACCUGGGAACUGCCUUUGUGACUGCAAGGCUGGAGUGCGGCAGAGGGGGAUGGAAUUCCGCGUGUAGCAGUGAAAUGCGUAGAUAUGCGGAGGAACACCGAUGGCGAAGGCAAUCCCCUGGGCCUGCACUGACGCUCAUGCACGAAAGCGUGGGGAGCAAACAGGAUUAGAAACCCCAGUAGUCC